UUCACAGAUUGAAAGGAAAUUAUGAUCAUAUAUCUCAGUUUGCACUGACAAGCUCUCCAUCCUGCCUAGGACAUGAUGUCCCUAUGCUUUCUAAACAAUCUGUGCACCAGCCUCUAUAAAACUUCAAGAAUCCAUCACUACAGUGUAUAAUGGAACAAGUGUGUGGCAUGAGGAACAUGGAACAUGCAAUUACCUUUCACAUACCUCUCAAUAAUCACCUUUCUACAUCUGGUAAACAUUAGCUGAAAAGAAUAUCCAAGAUUCAAUGUCAAAAAAGGCCACAGGGCAACGACGAUCCAUUUCUUCUCCUAUAUUCUACUGACAUCGUGUUCAUGCACCAUAACGACUGCCACAGAGGAAGGCGAUGUCAGCGGGCUCCCCAUUAGCUCCCACACUGGGACAGCAGUUAAUGGCAAUGAAGAGGCAGGAGGGAUCCUGCAGGUACUGAAGUGCCCGUUGAGUUUCAUGCAACUGAAAUGCUCAUCGAAUCCGACCACCAUAGCCUUCACCUCGGGGUCCGUCUCCACCGAAGCCCAGUCCUUGGGGGUGCCGGUCACAAGGUCAGCUCCGCAGCCAAAGUGAGGGAUCCCCGCGGCCCGAACUCCUCGCUCAGCGUCCGACACCCAAUUAGAUAGACUUUGCCCUGGAGUCGGGCAAUGCCGACAUGGGUAAAUACAGCUUUUUGGCAAAACCAGCAACUAAACAUGUACAGGUAUUACUUAGCAUCAGGGCCGGAACUAGGGGUAGGCAAAGCAGGCACGUGCCUAGGGCGCAAAGCUGGCUCUCUGUCGCCUACCCCAUGUCCAGUCCCCUCUUUCCCCGUGGUUUUCCAGUCGAUUAGUGCUUCUACACAUGCACUCUUUGAUUUGCGAAUGUGCGCAUACGUCAUUUUGCACAUGCAUGUGUCAUUUUGCGCCAUUGCAUGAAUGUUCGCACGCCCAUCUUGCCCCAGGACAGGUCAGGUUGCCUAGGGGGUUUGGCCAGCCUGGCCCGGCUCUGCUUAGCAUCAGACUGGAGCAGCGGGGCCCAUGGGGGCUGCAACCUGAGGGCCCUCCUAGCAGCCUCCAGGGCCCCCUCCCAAUGUCUAAACUCUACCCGUCACUACUUUUCUACUUGUCAGGGGGCGGCUAAUCAGAGGAGUGGGCCUGGGCCCACCAGGGUUUUUCCUGAGUCCCGCCAGCCUAGUCCGACCCUGUGUUAAUUAGUUAUUACCUGUGAACAGGGGUGGGGCUGGGAGUAAGCUCUUUUUUCCCAAAAAGUAAGAGAGGAGUGCUGCAGCUUAAAAGGCUGAGGAGAAAACACAAAAAGGACUACGAGUAUUGGUUUGAGUUUGAUUAUUAAUGGCUGAGGAACUUUGGGGGAAAAAAGAAAAUAUGUUUUACUGCAUAUUCUCCAUGGAAUUAUAAAAAAGUGCCCUAUUCUGGUCGAAAGGCUCUUCCUAUGAAUCCCCAUCAUAUAUAAAGAAGGUCACAUGCUAAUAUAGAGUUCAGCAUACUUUGUUACAUACAUACAGUUACAUACAUUCAGUUUUUGGGCUAUAAAAGACCAAAGUCCAUCACGUUUUUGGGUUAUAAAAGACCAUCAAGUCCAUCAAGUUUAACCCCUCCAUAUGAACCCCAGUGCACAUAUAUACACAUACUUAUACCAACCUAUACACUCACAUAUAUAAACUAAAUAUAAAAAUAUCUAUAUUAAUUGUAGAUUUUAGUAUCACAAUAACCUUGCAUAGUAUGCUUGUUGAACAAAUCAACCAAGCCACUCCUAAGGGCUUUAAUAGAAUCUGCUAUCACAACAUCAUCUGGCAGGGCAUUCCACAACCUCACUGUCCUCACUGUGAAGAACCACCUACACUGCUUCAAAUAAAAGUUAUUUUCCCUCUAGUCUAAAGGGGUGGCCUCUAAUGAGUUGUUUGUACUUUCUUAUGAUGAGCUUCAGCUUUGUACCAAUCUGAAUGGGGUCAAGGACAACUGGUGGACACAUGGAUUUAUUUCAAUAGGCUGGAGUCAAUGAACAUAAAAUCUAUGUUGCUGGCAAUUAAUGGUCUUUUCUGCUAAAAUCUGGAUUCUAAGUUCUGCAACAAUAGUAGAGUCUAUUCUUUUCUUUGUCUUGUGCUAUUUAUUGGGAUAAUUGUAUCUUGUUGUGUAUCAAAAGGGGAAUUGAUUUGUUACAAACAUUACUACAAUACAAUAUAUGAAGUACAGUUUUGGCCACCCACUUUUAAGUAAGAUAUAGUGGAACUUGAAAAAAGGAUUGUUAAAACUGCACUGAAAGGUCUGACAAAAAAUUUAAUUCUCAACCUUUGAAAAUCUAAAGGACAUGGUCGGCUGGUCCUAUAAGCAACAUAAGGAUUUCAUAAAGAGAUGUUCAUCUAUAAGAGUGCUUGAAACAAAUGCAUAUCUGUUAAAAUAGGAAGUAAGUAUAGGUUAUAACUAUUAUAAUAAAGUAUAUUGUAAAGGUAGAGAAGUUAUACGUUUUACUGUAAAUUAGGUUUUAGGGAUGUUGCAGUAAAUAAAAUUAGUAAAGGCCGUAUAAGAGUCACUAUAUUAAUAUUUUGGGGUUUGAACGUUUUUUGUUUUG